CUAAGCCAUGCGAGUCAUUGUAGCAAUACAAGGCAGACGGCUCAGUAACGCGUAGUCAACCUAACCUAUGGACGGGAAUAACCUCGGGAAACUGAGAAUAAUGCCCGAUAGAACACUAUACCUGGAAUGGUUUGUGUUCCAAAUGAUUUAUCGCCGUAGGAUGGGACUGCGGCCUAUCAGUUUGUUGGUGAGGUAAUGGCCCACCAAGACUAUUACAGGUACGGGCUCUGAGAGGAGUAGCCCGGAGAUGGGUACUGAGACACGGACCCAGGCCCUAUGGGGCGCAGCAGGCGAGAAAACUUUGCAAUGUGCGAAAGCACGACAAGGUUAAUCCGAGUGAUUUGUGCUAAACGAAUCUUUUGUUAGUCCUAGAACCACUAACGAAUAAGGGGUGGGCAAGUUCUGGUGUCAGCCGCCGCGGUAAAACCAGCACCUCAAGUGGUCAGGAUGAUUAUUGGGCCUAAAGCAUCCGUAGCCGGCUCUGUAAGUUUUCGGUUAAAUCUGUACGCUUAACGUACAGGCUGCCGGGAAUACUGCAGAGCUAGGGAGUGGGAGAGGUAGACGGUACUCGGUAGGAAGGGGUAAAAUCCUUUGAUCUAUUGAUGACCACCUGUGGCGAAGGCGGUCUACCAGAACACGUCCGACGGUGAGGGAUGAAAGCUGGGGGAGCAAACCGGAUUAGAUACCCGGGUAGUCCCAGCUGUAAACUAUGCAAACUCAGUGAUGCAUUGACUUGUGGUCAAUGCAGUGCUGCAGGGAAGCCGUUAAGUUUGCCGCCUGGGAAGUACGUACGCAAGUAUGAAACUUAAAGGAAUUGGCGGGGGAGCACCACAAGGGGUGAAGCCUGCGGUUCAAUUGGAUUCAACGCCGGAAAUCACU
rnacentral:rRNA from 1 species